UGGGGAAUAUUGCACAAUGGGCGCAAGCCUGAUGCAGCCAUGCCGCGUGUAUGAAGAAGGCCUUCGGGUUGUAAAGUACUUUCAGUCGGGAGGAAGGUGGUAAGGUUAAUAACCUUAUCAAUUGACGUUACCCGCAGAAGAAGCACCGGCUAACUCCGUGCCAGCAGCCGCGGUAAUACGGAGGGUGCAAGCGUUAAUCGGAAUUACUGGGCGUAAAGCGCACGCAGGCGGUUUGUUAAGUCAGAUGUGAAAUCCCCGGGCUCAACCUGGGAACUGCAUCUGAUACUGGCAAGCGUGAGUCUCGUAGAGGGGGGUAGAAUUCCAGGUGUAGCGGUGAAAUGCGUAGAGAUCUGGGGGAAUACCGGUGGCGAAGGCGGCCCCCUGGACGAAGACUGACGCUCAGGUGCGAAAGCGUGGGGAGCAAACAGG
rnacentral:rRNA from 1 species